rnacentral:rRNA from 1 species
GUGGGGAAUAUUGGACAAUGGGGGGAACCCUGAUCCAGCCAUGCCGCGUGUGUGAAGAAGGCCUUUUGGUUGUAAAGCACUUUAAGCGAGGAGGAGGCUACCGAGAUUAAUACUCUUGGAUAGUGGACGUUACUCGCAGAAUAAGCACCGGCUAACUCUGUGCCAGCAGCCGCGGUAAUACAGAGGGUGCAAGCGUUAAUCGGAUUUACUGGGCGUAAAGCGCGCGUAGGUGGCCAAUUAAGUCAAAUGUGAAAGCCCCGGGCUUAACUUGGGAAUUGCAUUAGAUACUGGUUGGCUAGAGUAUGGGAGAGGAUGGUAGAAUUGCAGGUGUAGCGGUGAAAUGCGUAGAGAUCUGGAGGAAUACCGAUGGCGAAGGCAGCCAUCUGGCCUAAUACUGACACUGAGGUGCGAAAGCAUGGGGAGCAAACAGGAUUAGAUACCCGAGUAGUCC